AAAGCCUCGAGGAAAAAGAAACGUAAAGGGAAAAAAAUAACCUAAGAGGAAAAAAAACCCCAAAAAACUCUAAGAGAACUAACGACGCUCAAGCGCCGUUUUUCUCCGUAUGCCUCGCAUCUGGACAGCCCUCACCUCAGAGGGUCGACACCUCCCAGUGAGAGGGACUCAACGGCCAUUUCCGGCUCAAACUCUCCCUCGGGCUUAAGAAUAAGCAACGAGACCUUCCUGGGCGGGGCGAGACGCGUCAUGAAUAAUUCAUUACUCCUGCUCGCCUGAUCGGCCCGCCUCGCUCGGUCUCAUGAAUAUGCAAAAGAGGCGAGCGACGGCUAACGCGCCCCCAGCAAGCCCCGCCCUCCACGCCUGGCCUCCUGGCGCCCGUGGGGAGGUGGUUCCCUGCUCACCUGCCGUCAGGCCUCCGGCUCCAAGGCUGUCCUCCGGCGUUUCCCGCCCUUCCGAGGGUUCGCCGGGCGCUCCCGGGCCUGAGGGACCCGCACCGAGCUCGAGGCGCCGCACACGGACCCCGACGGGGCCUUCGGCUCGGGGCUGCUCCGCCUGGGCAACCCUUACGUCGAGGACAGCCUGCUGCCAGCCUCCCUGAGGAGACGCCUGCCCGCCGAGGUGUUUACUAAAGUGAGCAAGGAUCUUCUGCAGCUGUUUGGAGCCUGAGUGGCAGAUGACAGCAACUAACUGGGGACAAGUAUGAGUUACACCCCAAAGGCUGCUGCAGCAGGAUGCCCAGACAGCACGUAGACCACCUCCACACCUGCAGAGCUGAGAGGAUCUCAGGUAAGGGGUCCAUAGAUGCAAAGUAAUGAGGCUUGUGAGAGAAAUACUUAAACUGGAGGUGAGGCCUUGAUGGCAGUUUUGGCUUCAGAAGCAAGGUUGGGGUCAUCAUUCAGCUGCCUCUCCCUCCACCUCCUGAGGGGCCCUAGGUUUUAUUUAUUUAUUUAUUUUUAUUUUAUUUUUGGCUGUGUCGGGUCUUAGUUAUGGCGUGCAAGCUUCUCUCUAGUUGUGGCACAAGGCUCUGUUGUUGUGGCUCAUGGGCCUCUCUAGUUGUGGCUCACAUGCUCAGUAGUCGCGGCACACGGGCUUAGUUGCCCCGCAGCAUGUGGGAUAUUAGUUCCCCGACCAGGGAUUGAACCUACGUCCCCUGCAUUGGAAGGCAGAUUCUUAACCACUGGACCACCAGGGAAGUCCCCUUAGGUUAUAUUUAAGUAGACCGCCUUCCCUACCUAUAACUGUGAGUGCCAAAGCAAUCCAAACGUGCCUCCACUCUAAGCUAUAAAGAAACAAUUAACCACAGUUAAUGGCCCAUAAUCUGUUACUUCUGUAUUCUAUUCCCAAGGUUCCCUCCUAAGUUAUUACCCAUGAAGAAACAUAAAACUGCACAUAAAACUGUAUUUCACAGAACAAAGUGAGCUCUUUUUUGCUUUAUUUCCCUCUGAUUUAAAACAGUGGGUCUUCCUAGAUGGAAAAGAGGUUCAUCCCCACAGAUGGGAAAGGCUACCACUCAGUGUUUUGCACCAUGACAAUGCAGACACAUGGACAGGACCAGCUACAGAAUUUGCAAGGCCCAGUCCAAAAUGAAAAUGAGGCCUCUUGUUAAAUAUAGUAGGAAUUUCAAAACUGCAAUAGAAGUGCAUUAAACCGAGGGCAAGGUCCUUCUGAGUACGGGGCCCUGUGUGACUGCAGAGGCUGUGCACACACCAAAUUUCUAGGUACUAGGAGGAUGCGGGGGUCGGUGGGGGGGAAACUCUACCCCGAGAAGCUCAAGCAUAGGAGCAGCUCCUCCCCUGGCAGAGAGCCUCUGCAGAGGAGGGAGUGUCAGGAGACCUGGACAAAGCAUGGGGUGGCCAGAGGGCCACUGCUGAGGGAGCAGAUGGUGUGGCCAAGGACAGCGUUCUCUUGGUGGUCCUCCCAGUUCUGAUCUGCUUGGGGUUUGGUUAUUAGAGUGCCCACGGAUCAGAAAGGAAUUGGGGUGCUUUAGAAAACUAGAAGGAAGGGGCAACAAGUGAGUGUAGAAAACACUGGGAUUGAGGAGGCAUGAAGAAAGGGAGUUUCUAGAAUGGAAUUAUCCCUGUUUUAUUUUCAUUUAAUCAACCAAUCUUUUUUUUUUUUAAACUGAAGUAGAAUAUCAAAUUUAGAUGAUUUUUCCCCCUAAACCUACUCCUCCCCAUUCUCCAUUUUAGUAAAUGAUCCAACUGGAUGGAUCACUGUCCAUCCAGGUGAUCCAGGCAGAAACCUGGAGUCUGGUUCCUCCUCCUCCUUUGCCUCAACAGUGCUCACUGAAUCCUGUUAGUUCUCUCUUCAGGGUCCUUCUUGGGCCUGCACAUCUACCUCUGUAUCCAAUGAUGCCACCACCACUUCUUGCCAUGACUGACAGCAGCCUCCUCACUGCCUAGCUUUUGAAUCAUGCAGACUAGAGUUCAAGUCCUCAUUCUGCCACAUGUUAGCUGAGUGACCUUGGAUAGGGCUCUUCACCUUUCUGAGCCUCAGUUUAUUCAUCUGUAAAAUGGGAAUAAUAAUACAAAGGGUUGUUGUCUGGACUAAAUGAAAUGACGAAAGUGUCUUAGCACACAGUACAUGCUCAAUGAAUUAGCUUCUUGUCUCUUUCCCUCUUCAUUCCUCAGGCCUUAGUUUAUACAUUACUUCCCUAGGAACCCCUCUGCCGACUUGCUGCAAGUUCCCACAGAUCCCCAGACUGCUCUGCAGCGUUCAUCACACUUACCUGUCUUUUGUCCACAGUCUUCUCCAUGAGCACAGGAUUCUGGCUUUCUCUGCCUACUGAGGUGCCUGACAUGAAGUAGGAAUUCAUAUUUUGUUAUUUGACUGGUAUCCCUGUAUAUAAUCAAAGGUUCCCAGCCAUGGGGUCUCUGUAAUGUCCCCCCACCAACUCUAGGUAAGUGGGCAGAUGACCAUAAACAAACGAUGGAAACCAAGAGCAUCCUACCCAAUAUAAAUUAAACCUAGGGCACUGGGGCAACUCGUCAUAGCAGAUCCCGUUCAUGAGAAGCAGACCUUGGUCAGGUAAGGCCCAUUCAAGGCCAGCCGACCAAGCCAGGAAGCCAGUGCUCCAGAUCAACACAAACUUCCCUGGGAAGGCAGUGAGGCUGGGCUAAGGAAGGGACAGCACUACGGGCAGGAUCACCUGCCCUGGAGAAGGAAUGAAGGUGGCCCCCAUUCAUUGACCCAGGGCCACCUGAGUAGUUGGGCCAACCCUCCUCCUCAGGCCUUGACAGCUCCCCACUAGAUAUCCCCCACUGAGGCCAGUCAGUUGCAUGAGAGGUAUGCACACCAAGGGGCUGACGCCCUGAGAAGCCCAAGGUGGAGGGGCUGGGUUUUUUGUUUUCUGAACUUUGAAAUAACACGUAGAAAAGUACAUUAAAAAUCUGUAGUUUAUACUCCAAUAAAGAUGUUAAAAAAAUUUUUUUAAAAACCUGUAGAGGCUGAUGAGUUAUCAGAUGAGCAUUCAUGAAACCCACUACUCUGAUCAGUACCUAAAGCAUCUCCAGCACUCUGGAAGCCCACUUACCCUCCCCAACCUGCUCGCUCCAACCCCUAGAGAUGACCAAGGCCCUGGCUUUCGUAGUUACCAUACCUUGGCAUCUGAAAUACUACUUUUGCCUGGUUUUGAACUUUUAAAGAAUAGAAUCAUACAGCACAUAAUAUUGUUCUUUUUUCUGUUCAGUAUUAUGUGAGAUUCAUCUGUGUGUUUGUAUGUGUAACUAGUUUAUUCAUUCAUUGCUGUGUUAGAUCUUGUAGAUGAAUGUUUCACAAACUGUUUAUCCCUUGCUCUGUUGAUGGACAUUUAUACUGUUUCUGGCUUGUGUAUUUUAUUGCCUUAGUGUGAGGCUGUCCUGGAUGACUUGCAGAGGCAAGGGGAGUUUGGAGCAGAAGGGAAAGGAGGGGGAGAGGCAGGAGGAGCUCUGGGCAUGGGGGCAGGGCAGGUGAGAGGGACUCUCAGGUCAGAUAGGGCUGUGGAAGUACAGAGUGGGGCUGACGGCACCGUGGAGGAAAGGGUGCCAGAGGGCUCCUUUGAAAGUUUGCUCCUACUCAGAGACUAGAGGAGUGCAGUUCCCCUCUGAGGGCAAGUGUUCUGCGUGCUGAAGGCCAUGGUCAUGUGGUUUAGCAGGCAGGAGUUCAACUCCUCCACCUUCUGGACCUGCUGCCUGAACCCACUUCUCUGCUCCCCAUGGGGUGCAGGGCCGGCUCUGCAUGCCUAGAGAGAAAGCCAGGCAGGGCAGCUGAUAGCAAAAUAUUGCCCUAGGGGGACAGAGGCAACACCACAAACUGGCCAGGGAGUCACCUCUGGUGCCUCUUUCUCAGGAUGGGCAGACAUCAAGAGAUUUGUGUUUGGGAAGUUCUGGGAUCACCACUGCCCAUCCAGACACUGACCAGAAUGGAGGUAAGGCGGCAGAGCCCCGAAAGGAAGGGGCCAGCACGGCUGACUGCUUGCCCAGCCCUCACCUGCCCUGGAAGCAACGCCACCCUGUGGAGCCCACCUCUCGGAGACUCCCAGCAGCCCCGGGCAGAGCUCCCACCCCAGCAAGAGAACCUGUCCCUGGUAACACUCCACCCACUUAAGUGGCUGGAUCUUAAGUAUUUCACCUUGGGGACCAUCUUGGCUGGAGAUGGCCGGGAGUCCCUAUCACCCCUGAAAGACCUGACAUGUUUCCCUCCUCCCUCCAGCUGAGCAGGUACAGGUAAGAAGAGAAGUCCUCUUGCCUUGGAGCAGUACAGCUGCCUGGGAAACAAGAAGGGUUCCUGCUGCUUCCAGCUCUGGACGACGUGUGAAAGCAGGGAAGCAGGUGUGGAAGGAGGGCAGAGACUGAACCUCAGGAACACCAAUACCAACAUAGGCACAGGGAAAGGAUGGUCUGGCGCAGCCUCUAAGGCCAACUGCAGAGGCAGAAGAGCCAGCAGAAAGGAAACCCACUGCUGGAUUAAGGAUCACUUAAGCACAGAAGACAGAAUACUGAAUACCCUUUGGCAACAAAAUACCACCGCAAAAGGAAAAGGCUAGACAAGGAGCAAUGGAAAGACAGAACUAAAACAAACAAAAGACUUCAUCUGGAAUGCAGCGAGUACUUCACAACUCUGUUUCUGAAAAGCAUGAGUCAGCAACAACUGUGGUUACAGAGAAACAUUACCUAAAUCUACUUCUGGAUGUGUACAUUUAUUUAACAUACCUUCUGGAAUUCAGCUUAAAGGCCUGACAUGUAUUUGA